rnacentral:misc_RNA from 1 species
UCUCCGUAGGUGAACCUGCGGAGGGAUCAUUACUGAGUGAGGGUUUAACCGCCCGACCUCCAACCCUUUGUGAACCGUACUCGUUGCUUCGGGGGCGAUCCUGCCGUUCGGCGCGGCGCCCCCGGAGGCUCAUCAAACCCUGCGUAACUAAGUCGUCGGAGUUUAAACAAAUUAAACAAAACUUUCAACAACGGAUCUCUUGGUUCGGGCAUCGAUGAAGAACGCAGC